GGGCUCAGUAGAAAACACAGGCAGGGGAGGCAGUGAGCUCCCACCUCUCAGCAGCAGUUCUUUCCUCCAGGAGUUCCUUUUUCACAUCAAGUCAACUCAACAAGUAUUUGCCAGGCGUCCACUGUGAGCAGGACACUACAUGAAGGCAGAUCUAUGAAGUGAAGGCUGCUCCAGGGAGCUGGAGUUUGUUUGUGCAGCAGCUAAGAAAGGGCUUUGGCGCUGGAGGCUGCGAGGAAGCCAGUAACAGGGAGACUGGCAGAGGGACCCACCCCGCCAUACUCAAAGCAUGAAAAAGUUCCCUGGUCAGGGACUGAAUCUGAGUUAUAGCAGCAACUGGAGCCACUGCAGUGAGAAUCUCUGAUCCUUAACUUGCUGCACCACAAGGGAACUCCAAGAACAGAGCAUCUGGUUCCUGUCACGUCCCUGGUGCCAAGGAGGAGCUACAGCUCUCCCCACACAAAGCGGCCUGGAUGGAAGCCCAGCAGAGCCCUCGAACCCGCGCUGUCACCUUUCUGGUCCCUGGCUAUGUGGCUUGUCUGCUCAACAAAAUGUGUGUUGUUUGUCAACCCCUGGGGCUCCUUUUCCCUCCCUUCCAAAGGGACCACUUUUCUAUUGUGCACCUUUAAAAAGCACAGUCAGGUGAAAGGAAAUGAAGCAGCUUCUUAAAACAAAGGCUAGAAGAGCCUGUGUUCCAAACAGAAUUUUCUGAUCUUUUCACCUUACUUGCUGUUCAGAAGUGGAACUUGAAACUGCCAUCUCAAGUUUUGCUUUGCAAAGGAAAGGAAGUUUUGCACGCAGAAGUUGCUAGGCCAAGGAUCCAACCCAGGUCACAGCAGUGACAAUGCCAGAUCCUUACCUACUGCACCACCAGGGAACCCCAGUUAACCAUGUUUCUAUCACAAAGAAAUAAUUUAGUUUCAAAUCUGAGAAAAAUCGAGGAAGAAUUAAAGAAUCUCAGGCUUUUUCAGAUGUUUGUCCACAUUUGCUGGCAUUUUUUUUUUAAUCAACACAUCUUUUCUGACCAAAAACUAUUCUUUUUAUACUAUUUGAUUGAGAAUUUCAAUUUUUCCCAACAAUCUCAGUGGAGUUUAAAUUUGAGCCUGAGCUACAAUGUUUAAGAUGAAAUCUCUUUCCCACUCUUGCUGGGCCAGAACCCCUAUGGGGGAGGCAGGCAAUCAGCCAACCCCUGAGUUUCCAGGGACCUGCCUUCUGCCGGUCACUGCAGGAACAGGGACCACCAACGCUCGGGGGACAGGAGCCCUGCCACACUCGCUUCCACAUUUAGCCCCAUCCUGAUGGAGACAUCCUGAAUCAUGUAAUGCAGGAAUGAAUCUAUACAACCACACAAUUUAUCUUCAUUUUCAGUAUUCAAAAUCACACACACACACACACCAAACCCACAGAGCUGCAGCUUAGAUUUCACCAUUUCAGUAGCAGAUGUCAUAUACUAUCUUGUUUCAUGGUUUAUCAUGUUUUGCACAGUUGCAGUUAUUUUACUUCCUCUGAGAUGAUGCAACAUUGUGAACUAGAGUGGCACGUGUGUGGUGGGUGCAGGAGGGUAUGUACCUCCUUACUACAGUACUGAGGACCCCUUUUUUUUGUCCAUACCCACGGCAUAUGGAAGUUCCCAAGCCACAGCUACGGCAACACCAGAUCCUUAACCCACUGUGUCUAGCCAGGGAGCAAACCUGCGCUGCCACAGAGACAACACCAGGUCCUUAAUGUGUUGUGCCACAGUGGGAUCUCCUCGAGGACACCUUUUAAUGUUAUUAGUACAACAGGUUAUACUGACAAGGAGACCAGGGUGCUGAAUAUAUAAGGAUCAGGGUCUGCAUUUCCCUAACUGGAUCCUGUCAGAAAAAGAGACAAGAAAGGUAUUGCAUAUUAAUAUAAAGUUUGGGUUCAGAUGCUACUGUGGCAUAGCCCCAUUAUGUGUGAGUAUUCCAACUUCUAGACAGUUUGGGGGCUGUCAUUUGGUCUUCCUCAUAAGACCACCACUAUCUAGACUAUAACUCUAAGCCAGCGCUAGUCUAUCACUCUCUCCUAGAGUUACUAACAUGUUCUUCUAGAACAGGUCUAUGUCUUGCCUGCUUUGUAGCUGAGCCCCUUGCUCAGUGCCUGGCACACCACAGGGCACUGUCAUGGGUGUUCUCCAUGCGCCCCACAGAUCCACGCUCCACCCUUGUCCACCCUGCUCUGUGCUGCAUCGGGAAGGGUUUCUUGCCUCCAACUUCUGGCUGGAUUCUACCAGUGGAGCUCACUGGCAGGAGACUGGGUGAGGGGCAGAGAUUAGAGCCCCUUUGAUCAGGCUUCCAUUUGGCAGAGGCUACAUCCCUCUACUGAAACCGCCAGGGCCAGCAGGUGGCCUCUCCCCUGGCUGUGGUCCUCACUCCCUCUCACCCAUGAUUAUUCCCUCCCUUUCUCCUUCAGGUCUAGGGUAAAGGCUCCCUCUGCUGCUAGUCUCAGCCAGCAUCGGGGUUCUGGGUGAACCCACCCACAUAGUAUCUGCAAAGUUGGGAAGCACACCUAGUUCUCAGUCUGUAUCUCUUAUGCAUGUAAAGAAAUCUCUAGAAGUACUUCUCAAACAGUGCUCCCAAAGUUCACUGGGAAACUGGGACUAAAAGAAGCAGUCAGAGCUUUAGUCCUUGCUCUUAUUUACUUUUUAUUUUACAUACUGGAUUUCCCAGUAAGUUAUAACUGGACAAACAGGGUUACCUAAUUUUUAGUUUAAAAAAAACACAAAGCCACAGAUGCAUUAAGGAACGUUAAGUGGUUUGACAUCAAAGCCUUUAUCUUGUUCACUGAUAAUCCCCAAAAUUUGGAGUAGGGGAGACACAGAGUCAGUCUCUGAUAAAUAUUUGUUGAAAAAAAAACAUGCAUGAAAAUCUAUUAACCCAUUUAAUCCUUACAACAGCCUUAAAAGAAAGAUGUGGCAGGUAUUUUCUCCUAUACUUUCAUAGGAACAAACUCAACUUCAGAGACUUGACCAGAUGCAGGUCAUCUAUACCCCCAAUGAGUUUGAUCCCAGUAGUUUAUUAAAAGUAAAUAUGCCUGGGAGUUCCCAUCAUGGCUCAGAGGAAACAAAUCUGACUAGUAUCCAUGAGGACACAGGUUCGAUCCCUGGCCUCUCUCAGUGGGUUAAGGAUCUGGUGGUGCCAUGAGCUGUGGUAUAGAUCACAGAUGAGGCUUGGAUCUGGUGGUGCUGUGGUGUAGACCUACAGCUACAGCUAUGAUUCAACCCCUAGCCUGGGAACCUCCAUAUGCCAUGGGUUCAGCCCCCCACCCCACCCCAAAAAAGAGUACAUAUGCCUGUAAUAAAAUUGAAAUCAUAUCAAUCAUCUUUUCUGAUGACAACACUAUAACACUAGAAAUUACAAGGAAAAAAACUAUAUGGAGUUCCCAUUAUGGCUCAGCAGGUUAAGAAUCAGACUAGUAUCCAUGAGGAUGAGGGUUUGAUCCCCGACCUCAAUCAUUUGGCUAAAGGAUCCAGCAUUGCUGCGAGCUGUAGUGUAAGUCAGACACAUGGUUCAGAUCUAGCAUUGCCAUGGCUGUGGCAUAGGCUGGCAGCUGCAGCUCCGAUUCGACCCCUAGCCUGGGAUCUUCCAUGUACCAUGGGUAGGACUUAAAAAGACAAAAA
rnacentral:lncRNA from 1 species